rnacentral:rRNA from 1 species
AGUCGAGCGGAGAUGAGGUGCUUGCACCUUAUCUUAGCGGCGGACGGGUGAGUAAUGCUUAGGAAUCUGCCUAUUAGUGGGGGACAACAUUCCGAAAGGGAUGCUAAUACCGCAUACGUCCUACGGGAGAAAGCAGGGGAUCUUCGGACCUUGCGCUAAUAGAUGAGCCUAAGUCGGAUUAGCUAGUUGGUGGGGUAAAGGCCUACCAAGGCGACGAUCUGUAGCGGGUCUGAGAGGAUGAUCCGCCACACUGGGACUGAGACACGGCCCAGACUCCUACGGGAGGCAGCAGUGGGGAAUAUUGGACAAUGGGGGGAACCCUGAUCCAGCCAUGCCGCGUGUGUGAAGAAGGCCUUAUGGUUGUAAAGCACUUUAAGCGAGGAGGAGGCUACUGAGACUAAUACUCUUGGAUAGUGGACGUUACUCGCAGAAUAAGCACCGGCUAACUCUGUGCCAGCAGCCGCGGUAAUACAGAGGGUGCGAGCGUUAAUCGGAUUUACUGGGCGUAAAGCGUGCGUAGGCGGCUUUUUAAGUCGGAUGUGAAAUCCCCGAGCUUAACUUGGGAAUUGCAUUCGAUACUGGGAAGCUAGAGUAUGGGAGAGGAUGGUAGAAUUCCAGGUGUAGCGGUGAAAUGCGUAGAGAUCUGGGAGGAAUACCGAUGGCGAAGCAGCCAUCUGGCCUAAUACUGACGCUGAUGUACGAAAGCAUGGGGAGCAAACAGGAUUAGAUACCCUGGUUAGUCCAUGCCGUAAACGAUGUCUACUAGCCCGUUUGGGGCCUUUGAGGCUUUAGUGGCGCAGCUAACGCGAUAAGUAGACCGGCCUGGGGAGUACGGUCGCAAGACUAAAACUCAAAUGAAUUUGACGGGGGGCC